GACAGAGGGGGCAAGCGUUGUCCGGAUUGACUGGGCGUACAGCGCGCGCAGGCGGCAUGCGACGUGCCCUGUGACAGGCGGGAGCUCAACUCCCGACGGCCAGGGUAGACGCGCAGGCUAGAGGCAGGGAGAGGGCAGUGGAAUACCCGGUGGAGCGGUGAAAUGCGUAGAUAUCAUUUGGAACGCCAAUGGUGAAAACAGGUAGCUGGGGCUGUGCUGACACUGAGACACGAAAGCCAGGGGAGCGAACGGG
rnacentral:rRNA from 1 species